rnacentral:rRNA from 1 species
UCGAACGGUAACAGGUUAAGCUGACGAGUGGCGAACGGGUGAGUAAUAUAUCGGAACGUGCCCAGUAGUGGGGGAUAGCCCGGCGAAAGCCGGAUUAAUACCGCAUACGACCUACGGGUGAAAGGGGGGGAUCGCAAGACCUCUCGCUAUUGGAGCGGCCGAUAUCAGAUUAGCUAGUUGGUGGGGUAAAAGCUCACCAAGGCGACGAUCUGUAGCUGGUCCGAGAGGACGACCAGCCACACUGGGACUGAGACACGGCCCAGACUCCUACGGGAGGCAGCAGUGGGGAAUUUUGGACAAUGGACGAAAGUCUGAUCCAGCCAUGCCGCGUGCGGGAAGAAGGCCUUCGGGUUGUAAACCGCUUUUGUCAGGGAAGAAAAGCUCCGAACUAAUAUUUUGGGGUGAUGACGGUACCUGAAGAAUAAGCACCGGCUAACUACGUGCCAGCAGCCGCG